GUCCGCAUAGUUCAAUUGGUCAGAAUACCGGGACCUCACCCCGAAGACGCGAGUUCGAUCCUCGCUGCGGAUGCCA
rnacentral:tRNA from 2 species